GGUAUAGCUCAGUGGUUAGAGCAGUCGGCUCAUAACCGAUUGGUCGCUGGUUCAAGUCCAGCUACC
rnacentral:tRNA from 1 species